rnacentral:lncRNA from 1 species
UGAUUGGCCUAGAGGCAUGCUUACGUUCAUAUUUCGUUGCAUAUUAUCUUUGAUUUAUUGGUCAUUCAGGUCAUGAUGUAUGAUCCAUUAUUCUUUGACCCAUUCAAAUUUGCUUCAAUCAUUUCAUUCAUUUCCCAUUCAAGUUUGUUAGGUCUUAGGCCUUGUUUCUUAUGCUUGGUCCAUUGGAUUCCUACACUUUUCAUGUCCAUUAGUCUAUACAAUUCAAAUCAUUCAAUGUCAUUCAAAUCAAU